rnacentral:sRNA from 1 species
AGUCCCCACUGACCAAGGUGGGCAGACCCUAACAGGAGCUCGUUUGAAGAGGGAGAAGGGUGCCCCCGUGGGUGGCCAUAUCCUCAGUUACCUCCUGGAAAAGUCACGAGUGGUGCACCAGAAUCACGGGGAGCGGAACUUCCACAUCUUCUACCAGCUGCUGGAGGGGGGUGAGGAGGAGACUCUUCGCAGGCUGGGCUUGGAACGGAACCCCCAGAGCUACCUGUACCUGGUGAAGGUGAGUGGCUGGCAGGCAGGGCAGGUGCCACCCAGGGAUCCGGUGCCAGGGCUGGCAACCCAGCUGUGCCCUUCCUCCAGGGCCAGUGUGCCAAAGUCUCCUCCAUCAACGACAAGAGUGACUGGAAGGUUGUCAGGAAGGCUCUGACAGUCAUUGAUUUCACCGAGGAUGAAGUGGAGGACCUGCUGAGCAUCGUGGCCAGCGUCCUUCAUUUGGGCAACAUCCACUUUGCUGCUGACGAGGAGAGCAAUGCCCAGGUCACCACCGAGAACCAGCUCAAGUAUCUGACCAGGCUCCUCAGUGUGGAAGGCUCGACGCUGCGAGAAGCCCUGACACACAGGAAGAUCAUCGCCAAGGGGGAGGAGCUCCUGAGCCCGCUGAACCUGGAGCAGGCCGCGUACGCGCGAGACGCCCUCGCCAAGGC